rnacentral:lncRNA from 1 species
CACCCAACCCCCAAGACACUCAACUGGCAAUAGGCUCUUGAUUCCAAUCUACCUGACAUUACCACUUAGUUUUGAAAUUCUGAUGAAGGAGACAGUGGACAGUCCUCGGCCUUCUGGAGCUGACGUUCUCGAGACUGUGUGGUCUGGCUGCACCAGUAGCUUGCAAGUAAGAUGAAAAGUUUUACGCAGAAUGAGCCAUCCAGGGCUGAACUGGCAGCUCCUCAGCUCUCCUCUCCACUGUCGCUAGAGUGCAGCUCCCUCCUCAGGAUGAUCUCGUGAUUGCAACACGACUGAAGCAGCCCUGGGUGGGUCUUCAGCGUGUCUUCACUCCAGGCAGAUUAGCCCUGAGCUAACAUCCACUGCCAAUCCUCCUCUUUUUGCUGAGGAAGACUGGCCCUGAGCUAACAUCCAUGCCCAUCUUCCUCUACUUUAUAUGUGGGAUGCCUACCACAGCAGGGCUUGCCAAGUAGUGCCAUGUCCAACCCGGGAUCCAAACCUGCAAACCCCUGGCCACCAAAGCGGAACGUUUUCACUUAACUGCUUCGCCACCUGGCCGGCCCUGUCAUGUGCUCUUGAGAGCGGUUGAUGAGUCUUGCUCUGCACCACGGUGGAUUGAAGUGAGACGUUAAGACCUUCCGAAAUGAACUCUUUACUGAGACAAUGAAUUUGCUGUAAAUUUUUCAGAGGAGACAUACAGCAUUUUGGAAAGCUUGGAAUCAAUUACACUAAAGGUGACAGUUACAUCAUCCUGAAAGAACAGGAAAAGCUGCUAUGAUGAGAAACUCUGCAGCAAAGGGACCCAACCUUUGCAAGUUUACAAGUCGUUGGAUUUCAAAUGGCAUGAAAGGAAGCCCUUUGGGCCGGAAGUUGACAUGUCAUUCUGUAGCCCUUAGCCUGACCUUCUCCAAACAUCAGGUCCCACACAAAGACACUCUGCUUCAAAUGACUUUUUUACCUCCAGGCUGGUAACCCUAUCGUCUUCCUGAAUGACACCUCCGCCACAUCCACUCUUGUCAGGAAGGAAGCCUUUUCAUUCCUUGAAGCUCAAAGCCAGUAAUGUUCUUCACAGUGACCUUGAGGGGUGGCUCACCCCCUAGUCCUUGCCAACUACAGAUUAAUUUCUAUUGUUUAGCCCAGAGGAACCUGUCAGGGAACUGUGGAUCCACGUAAGCUCUCUGAUGGGCUAAAGUCAGUUUAAAUUUAUUUGCAGAUGAACUUAUUUGUGAAGGAUAUUUUGAUGGGAAUUAUAGGCUAUUUAAAACUCUCUCUGUUAGAAAAAUAGUGCGAAAUUUCAGUAGAGAUGAAUAUAUUUGCCUCCACGGAAGGACUGCAAAAUUAUUAAAUGAAAAAAAAUGGAGGUUAAACUGUUCUAUUUUGUUAACUAAACCAAGAGAAACACAGCCAAAGACUAGAUUUGAAGGCUGGCCUCAAAUAGUUUCCUGUAAUGAAAAUUGGGAUGAGAGAAACAAUCCAAACUCAAAGAGAACCAACCUUGAUUUAAAUAAAGCUGUUG